UUUAUUCUCUCCAUUGCAACAUCACUCAGAAAAUUACAGUCAUCAGCGUCCUGAGUUUAUUACACCCCCAGCAAGACACACAAGAAAUGUAACUGGACUGAUCAUCAUCACAAAUCAGUCCAGAAAAAAAAAAAAAUUCAAAACACACGCACGGGGAUCAUUUUUUUUUUUUUUCAAAGAAGCUCUGCCACAUGCAUUCCAAGAGGAACGUGGAAUUCAAGUUAGAGGGCUCUAAGUGGAAGAGAGAAGAGGCACAACCAUAUGAUUUGUGGUUGGAACAGAAAAAGGACGUCUGAUGUUCUCCUUCCUCCCCCUACCCUAAUGUUCGGCGCUUGGAGACGGACGGUCUGCUAAACUUAUCAUUUAACGUAGAGAAUCAAGUUGUUGAGACUGGCUUUUCUUCCAACCGGAUACCUGAAGGGUGGAGCAGGCGCCCCCUGUUCUGUCCCAGCAACCUACGAAGACUUCCGAACAGGAAGGUGACACACAGCGGCGGGUGGAUGGGAAUCCUUUUCCUGGAGCAUCACCAACGUAAUUACACGGAAACACCCAAAACCAUAACGAUUACUCCAGAGAGCAACUAAGUCAAUCAGUUUCUGCUAAAGAUCGUCACCGAGCGCAUACCUUUUUUUUUUCUUUACGGUAUUCGUCAAACAGAAAAUGAUAAAAAAUGAGUUUAUUCAUAAUGGCUAUUAUAGGCUCUGAAGUGUCAGUAACAUGCUGAAGGUGGGGCUCCCUGUGGUCCACGUUAAUCCACUACAGCUGAGGCUUAUUACCUGUGACGCCUUAGACAAGGAAAGAAUGCUGUCAUAGCGUCUUCGACUUCUAUCAUUCAACCGACUUUCCCCAAGAGCUUCAGAACCUCUCAUCCAGCCUGAGGACACACAGGAUAACCUGGUCACCUCACGGAGGGCUUUCUAUCUUGUAAUCACAAAGUCUUUCAUAACCUUCAUAUUGCCAGAAAGCCUGAAUGAACAUUUAUUACAAAACA